UUUUUUUUUUUUUUUUUUUGCAAAUUUGACUCUAUGAGUGUGUCACCACAACGCUGACUUAGUAUUGUGUAUGUAUGUAAAAAAUGUUGAAACUUCCUUAAUGAAUGAAGAGAUGUCCUUUUUGUAUACGUACAUUUGUGAAAGAUAAAAUUUCUUGACAUCCUGGCUUUUUGAGUGACUGCAUAUACAGUGGUGAUCCGUCACAAUUUUUGAUCAAUCUCAUCAAAAGACUUAGGUUGUCCAUCAAGGUAUGUCAGAUGACCAGUUACAAAACUGGUUGCACAGAAUUACCAACUAUAGUGAUAUGCAUUUAUAUAUUUUGCUUUUAGACCUACUUCCUUAUGAAUAUAGUUCAUCUUCUCGUAACUGUUACACCUAUGUGACUGUCAUCAGUACACCUCAGUGUGUACAGUCACAAAAAUACAUACGUUAUUAUUACCUAUCUUCUUCUGCAAACUGGCCUAUGAAGUUUCCGUUGUGUUUUUAAAUGUUUCUCAAAUAAAUCUCCUUUUUAUUUUUAUUUAUUUAUUUUUUUUGAGUCGGAGUCUCUCUCUGUCGCCCAGGCUGGAGUGCAGUGGUGCAAUCUCCGCUCACUGCAACCUCCUUCUCCCAGGUUCAAGCAAUUCUUCCGCCUCAACCUCCCGAGUAGCUGGGAUUAUAGGCGUGCACCACCAUGCCCAGCUAAUUUUUGUAUUUUUAGUAGAAACCAGGUUUCUCCAUGUUGGUCAGGCUGGUCUUGAAUGCCUGACCUCAAGUGAUUGCCCACCUCGGCCCCCCAAAGUGCUGGGAUUACAGGCGUGAGCCACUGUGCCCAGCCUGAAUCCCCUUUUUAAUAUGUUUAAAAACUAGUUUUGUUUUUGUUUUUUGAGACAUAGUCUCGUUCUUGUUCCCCAGGCUGGAGUUAGUGGUUUCUCCAUGUCGGGGUAUUGCACUGGUACCCUUUUUUCUCCUAAUCAUGGUAUGAAUAUUAUGAUUGGAGCUAAGCAGCAAUCUUGAAAUCUUGAGGGAGAGGCCAAGGACAUCAGAGACUUUGUCCCUGACUUCCCUGAGGCACUUUAACAUGCCAGGGGAUGGAGGAAGAAGUGGGGAAUGGGGGAAUGAGGUGGGGAAUGGGAAGCAGCUGGUAAAGGGAAGGAGGGGUGAUGGAAAUGUUCUGGAAUUAAUGGUAAUGCUGCAAAACAUUGUGAAUAUACUAAAAACUACUGUAUAUUUAGUGUUAUGUAAAUUAUAUCUCAAUUUUGUUAAUGCCACACACACAAAAAAAGGAAAGCAGAAAACAGGACUAUGAUGUAGUCCUUCCUACCUCUAUUUGUAGAACAAGGGCAGUCAUUCUCCAAUUUUGCUUACCGUACAACCUCCCUGACUUUUUCCUAUCACUCCAUACCAAAACAACUGCAGUGAAGAUCCUCUUGAAGUACGGCAAGUAGAACUAAAUGACUGAGCUCUCUCUAGAUUUUAUAACUUAUUUCUGCAGGAGAAAGCAUCUUUCUCUCUAGCGGAAAUUCCUUCUGUGAGGAGGCGUAUCAUUAGUGUGUCAUUCCUGGCUACUUUCUACCCUGCCCUUGUCACAGGGACAUGCAGUGACUCAUCUACUGGGUAAAUUUAGAAGGAGAAACAUGCACAGCCCAGGCAUGUCCUCUUCUUCCUCCCGCUGGGAGCAAGUUACCCACAGGGAUCAUACUUCUGGCUCUACCCUAGAGUAGCCUCCCUGUGCCUGAAGUUUGGGGUGGCCACUGUUUAAUUCUGUAGUACAGGUCAUUAUAAAGUCCACUUACCUGCAGAUAGACAUCACAUUCCUAAAACUCCGCUUUACUCUUUGUCUUGACAGUAACUCACACAAUGAAGAUAGGUGUUAUUUGUUGGGCCCCUCAAACUACAACUCUUAUUUUAAAGCCUUGGGAGGAAGGUGAGCCAAGGAGUCUCAAGACUUCUAGCCCAUUAACUCUGCAAGGCACUGAACCAUGCAGGAAUCAACUGCUCAAAGUUUCAUAAGCCACCAGGAAUUUUCCCAGAAUCUUUCUGAGAGUCCUGAUUCCUAGUAUGAAGCAUACUGCACAACAGAUAGAUAUCUAUAUAGAAAGAAAAGGUAGAUGUGGAGACAUUUUUCUGCACUUUAUCAGUGUUGGCUGGAACACAGCCCUCUUGGGACAGGGCUUCUGUAGGAGAUUUAUCUAUGGGCUUUCGUGGCCUCCCCAUACUUUUUCCACCUCACUUGCUGAAGAGAAGGAAAGCUGAUAUGACACAUGCAGGUUUUUUACAGACACUCUGCUCUGGAAACUGGGGCAGACAUCAGCCCUUUUGGUGAUAAAAGACUCCAGCACGAUAUGCUGCUCAGUCAAGGUCCAGUCCACUACAACUGUACCUCACUUUGUGGAAAGAGGUGUCAGUGAGAAACCCUGAGAGGAAUGUUUGCAAAGUAAAUCAUACUUUGAAUUGACAAACACACACUGAUAUUUAAAGAAACCUGUGAUGAGUUUUAAAUGUCAACACCUUUUCAUGUAAAAUCCUAUUUUUUAUAUUGUAACCUACCAUUUCAUCCUGGGAUCUGACUGCAUGUGUCAAUUUUGAAUGCAGGAAGUGAUCUAUAUGCUGCCUUACAAAGCAGCCCUUAAUGACUGUAAAUAUCUUUAAUUGUUACAAAGCUUUCCUUAUGUGGAAUAAAAUUCUGCCUUACUUAACCUUUCACCAUCAGUCCAGGUUCUGUUCCCUGGAGCCAUACACCACGGCAUCUUUCAAACAGUUAAAACAGCCAUCACACUACAAUUUCUUCUCCAAGCCAGAUAUCCCCAAAUACUUCAAUUUAAUUCAGUUCACUUUUGAAGGACCCACUAGAGGCGUAGCCGUGUAGGGGAUAUGAAAACAAGCCACCAGCCUGACCUUCAAAAUACUGUCAUUAUUUUCUAGUGAGAGACACAUACAAGUGUACACAGAUAACUGUAGCUGAAAGCAGAAUGAUUAAAAGGAUAAACACAAAGUAUAACUACUAUAAAUAAAAUACUAUAAGAACAAAGACAGGAGAGGGAAUUAGAGUUAACCAUAUUUAUGUUUCUUGACUUUAAUGGUGGUACUUAAUAUUUUCAACCUCUAAAACACAGCUUUUCCAUUUACUUGUCUAUGUAAGAAAAAUGUGUACUUCUAAAUCAUGCAUUAUCUGACAAAGCCAUUUAAUAAUUCAUCCCAGUUUUCAUUUUAAGCAAUAUUUAAGAAAUAUGGUAUUCAUCUCAGUUAUAGCAGUAGGAAACAGACAAAUUCCUCGGUAGACAGGGACAGGUCUCCGGUGAAACCAGACCUUCAAGUGAAACCUGAAACCGAGUUGCCAGUUCCAGGUGGAGUCCACAACCAGAGUGAGAACUUCCUCGAUGCCUUUUAGCCAACUGAAUGGUGCUUUUUCCAGGCCCACCCAUGGAACAAUUAGCAUACACCCCAUUCUGAGCCCAUAAAAACCCCAGACUCAGCCUUACAGAUGGCUAUCCACUUUCAGGCCCCCUCUCACACAGAGGGCUACCCACUUCGGGUCCCCUCUCUUUAUCGAGAGCUUUUCUGUCAGUCAAUAAAAUUCUUCUCUGCCUUGUUCACUCUCCAGUGUCCGCGUACCUCAUUCCUCUUGGUCAUGGGACAAGAGCGAAUGGCAGGUGCAAAAAGAGCUGUAACAUAUGCUCAUGCUCGCCGAGCUAUAGGAGUGAAAAAACCAUUGUGUGCCAACAUGCCCCCAUUUGCUGAGCUGCAGGCAGCAGGACCCAAUGAGUUGUGACACGCUCCCAUUCACUGAAGCUGCAGACAGCAGAAAUGAACGACAGUGUAACACUUUCUGGAGGCUCAGGCCUCAGGACUCCCCAAGCAAAAGCUGUAACACACCUUGGGGCUCUGUGGUUGCUGGCAUCUCCAAGUUAUUGGGCACUGCCACAUCCCCCUCAUCCAGACACCAGCAUCCAAGGUAGAAGUUGGUCACGGCACCCCUGGACCAGCUGCGGGCUGACCACAGAGCCAAGGCAAGCGCAGGAUCCAGACCAGUAGCACAGCCUGAGCGCAGUCUGCUGGGCCAAGUGGGCAGAGUAAGCCCAGUGGGCCCAAGCAAAGCCUGGGCAGAGGUGCCACUAGCCGUGGAGAUUUCUGGCUGGCAAAGUGGCACUGAAAGAAUUCUGUGUCAUCAGUAGUCAAAUAAGCUACUCUUAUUCUAAAAAAACUCAGUCAAAAAAAAAUUCUAAGCACAUGUAUACCAACAGAUAGUCACAAUGCAUUUCUAGGAGUGUCAUUAGUAUUCCCCUGAGAGCUGGUAAAGCAUCAAAGCAUCUAUACACAGCAUAAUCAAUUUCCCUUUCAAAUUUUCAGAUUAUAUUAUUCUAGAUGUAAAUAUAAUUAAACAUCUAUAGAAACAUUAUAAACCAGGCCACAGUUACAAACACUCUAAAAGCACAGGGGCUCAGUCCCCAGCUCUCUUAACCCUCUCCCAAAGUCCUUGAUGCAAGGGAAGUUGAUGGGGAAAAAACGUGGAGCUCCUUGAGAAUGUGAAGAUUUUUUAAAGUACAGGAUGAAAAGAGAGAGAGAAAAAAAAGAGUAACUUUAGAGUGGAGAAACCAGACAAACACUAUCACAGCCAGGUGAUCAAGGUUAACAUCAACAGUGAUAAGUCAGAUUGACAGUAUAUACCCUUGAUAGGUGUGACAAGAGCAGCACUUCACCUCUGUGGUCUUCCUUCCAAUACCCCAUUAUCCCAGUCUUAUCAUAACAAAAAUAUCAGACAAAUCCCAAUUGGGGAGCAUUCUACAAAGUACUUGACCUCAAAGUACUCCUUAAAACUGCCAACGUCAUCGACAACAAGGUAAGUCUAACAGAAUGUCACAGCCUCAAGGAGCCUGAGGAGGCAAGGGGGCUAAAUGUAUCUGGAUGGGAUCCUGGAACCAAAAAAAAGACAUUAGGUAAAAACUAAGGAAACCUUGAAAAAAGUAAGGACUUUAGUUCAUAAUAAUGUAUCCAUAUUGGCUUAAACCAGUUGUACGGUCCCUAUACUAACAACACAUCAUUUUUGGUUGGAAAACGUUUUCUGCAAUAAACUCAAGCAAGCCAAUUUAAUUCAUUGAUCAAUUUUCCAUACAGGAGGGUUAAAACAUUUUCCAUUUUUUCCAUGUUCACUUUCAUGUCAUUGAAACAAUUUUCACUGGGAAUAGUUUCCACUCAAAUAUUUUAAUGAUGACUUUAUCAAUCCGUAUUUUGUCCAUAAUAAAUGUUCCCAAUUAUAGGUUCUUCCAUUGCGAAUUUACUUUCAUAGCCAUUAUUUCUAACAAGACAGUUUUCACUAAAAUUUUAUUAUUCCAUACUUUAUUUAUUUUAUUGUUUCUUUAGAGACAGUCUCACUCUGUUGCCCAGGCUAGUGGCUCAUGCUUAUAAGGCCAGAACUUUGUGAGGCCGAGGUGGGAGGCUUGCUUGAGGCCAGGAGUUCAAAACCAGCCUAGUCAACAUAGUGAGACUCCCUCUCUACCAAGGAAAAAUUAAAAAGUUAGCUGGGCAUGGUGACUCAUGCCUGUAGUCCCAACUACUCAAGAGGAGGCUGAGGCAGGAAGAUCAUAUGAGCCCAGGAGCUCAAGGCUGCAGUGAGCUAUGAUCUUGCCCGGGUGACAUAAUGAGACCCUGUU
rnacentral:lncRNA from 1 species